GAUGAACGCUGGCGGCGUGCCUAAUACAUGCAAGUCGAGCGAACAGACGAGGCUCUUGCUCCUCUGACGUUAGCGGCGGACGGGUGAGUCACACGUGUAUCACCUACCUAUAAGACUGGGAUCACUUCGGGAAACCGGAGCUAAUCCCGGAUAAUAUAUUGAACCGCAUGGUUCAAUAGUGAAAGACGGCUUUGCUGUCACUUAUAGAUGCUUCCGGGCCGCAUUAGCUAGUUGGUAAGGUAACGGCUUUCCAAGGCGACGAUGCGUAGCCGACCUGAGAGGGGGAUAGGCCACACGGGAACGGAGACACGGUCAAGACGCCUAAGGGAGGCAGCAGUAGGGAAUCGUACGCAAUGGGCGAAAGCCUGACGGAGCAAGGCCGCGUGAGUGAUGAAGGUCUUCGGAUCGUAAAACUCUGUUAUUAGGGAAGAACAGAUGUGGAAGUAAAUAUGCACGUCUUGACGGUAACGAAUCAGAAAGCCACGGCUAACUACGUG
rnacentral:rRNA from 1 species